GACGAACGCUGGCGGCGUGCUUAACACAUGCAAGUCGAACGAAGAGCGAUGGAAGCUUGCUUCUAUCAAUCUUAGUGGCGAACGGGUGAGUAACGCGUAAUCAACCUGCCCUUCAGAGGGGGACAACAGUUGGAAACGACUGCUAAUACCGCAUACGAUCUGACCUCGGCAUCGAGGAUAGAUGAAAGGUGGCCUCUAUUUAUAAGCUAUCACUGAAGGAGGGGAUUGCGUCUGAUUAGCUAGUUGGAGGGGUAACGGCCCACCAAGGCGAUGAUCAGUAGCCGGUCUGAGAGGAUGAACGGCCACAUUGGGACUGAGACACGGCCCAGACUCCUACGGGAGGCAGCAGUGGGGAAUCUUCCGCAAUGGACGAAAGUCUGACGGAGCAACGCCGCGUGAGUGAUGACGGCCUUC
rnacentral:rRNA from 1 species